rnacentral:rRNA from 1 species
GAACGCUGGCGGCGUGCUUAACACAUGCAAGUCGAGCGGGGAUUAUUCAGAGGAGUCCUUCGGGACGAAUCAGGGUAAUCCUAGCGGCGGACGGGUGAGUAACACGUGGAUAACCUGCCCGUAAGACCGGGAUAACACCGGGAAACUGGUGCUAAUACCGGAUGUGCUUGUACCGGGGCAUCCUGGUGCAAGGAAAGGUGGCCUCUCCAUGGAAGCUGCCGCUUACGGAUGGGUCCGCGGCCCAUUAGCUUGUUGGUGGGGUAACGGCCCACCAAGGCGACGAUGGGUAGCCGGCCUGAGAGGGUGAACGGCCACACUGGGACUGAGACACGGCCCAGACUCCUACGGGAGGCAGCAGUGGGGAAUCUUCCGCAAUGGGCGAAAGCCUGACGGAGCAACGCCGCGUGAGCGAGGAAGGCCUUCGGGUUGUAAAGCUCUGUCCUGAGGGAAGAAGGGCCUGCGGGUGAACAGCCUGCGGGUGUGACGGUACCUCGGGAGGAAGCCCCGGCUAACUACGUGCCAGCAGCCGCGGCAAAACGUAGGGGGCGAGCGUUGUCCGGAAUUACUGGGCGUAAAGGGCGUGUAGGCGGCGUCGUAAGUCA